rnacentral:rRNA from 1 species
AUUGAACGCUGGCGGCAGGCCUAACACAUGCAAGUCGAACGAGUGGCGGACGGGUGAGUAAUGUCUGGGAAACUGCCUGAUGGAGGGGGAUAACUACUGGAAACGGUAGCUAAUACAGCAUACCAUCGGUUCUGCUCAGAUGGGAUUAGCUAGUAGGUGGGGUAAAGGCGCACCAAGGCGACGAUCCCUAGCUGGUCUGAGAGGAUGACCAGCCACACUGGAACUGAGACACGGCCCAGACUCCUAAGGGAGGCAGCAGUGGGGAAUAUUGCACAAUGGGCGCAAGCCUGAUGCAGCCAUGCCGCGUGUAUGAAGAAGGCCUUCGGGUUGUAAAGUACUUUCAGCGGGGAGGCGUUACCCACAGAGGAAGCACCGGCUAACUCCGUGCCAGCCGCCGCGGUAAUAC